rnacentral:snRNA from 1 species
GCACAUAUACUAAAAUUGGAAUGAUACAGAAAAGAUUAGCAUGGCCCCUGUGCAAGGAUGACAAGCAAAUUCAUGAAGCGUUCCAUAAAAAA